GGUUAUGUAUAAAAAUCAACUCAUAAAAACUGAUAUAUAUGUUACAUUGUAUGAAAAAUUCAUUAUUGAAGGAGAAAUUUGAUUGAUCGCCAAUUCAUCGCCAAUUCAUCAGAACAAUCAUGGAUAAUCAUGAGCAAUCAAUAGCCGAACCGUCACCGAAAGCAAUUGACAACAUCCCAAUAGACAUGGAUAUCGAUGAUGAAGAUUUCAAAGAUUGGGCUACUAACGAAUUCGAUGAAAUGCUAAUCAACGCUCAAUUACAUUGGGAAGAAAACGAGAAAUUUUACAAUGAAGGAUGUAUGGAAGGGCUAUUGGCCAAUAUUAUCAAUGGAAUUGAUCGUCAAAAUUUCAGAGGAACUUCUCCCACCGACGAAAAUCAUUCGAAAAGAUUCUGUCGAACAAUAAUUCAAAAGAUUCUUAAUCAUAUCGAUUAUGGAGAGGAAAGAGUGAAUAAAAAAACAGAUAUUCAUGAAAUCCGGAACAAAACUAAAUCUCAAGCCAUAACAAACCAAUCUCGGAAACAGACACAUGGUGUUAAACGUAAAAUCUCCAGCAAUCACCACCGCCGCGAUUCCUGGAAUCUCCUGGAAUCACGAAAAAAAAGGAAAACCACUGAGGAUGAAGCUUGAUUGAUCA